GUGAGUAGUUCAGAGUUUGAUCCUGGCUCAGGACGAACGCUGGCGGCGUGCCUAACACAUGCAAGUCGAACGGGGCAGCCUCUUCGGAGACUGCUUAGUGGCGAACGGGUGAGUAACGCGUGAGGAACCUGCCUUUCAGUGGGGGACAACAGUUGGAAACGACUGCUGAUACCGCAUAACAUCUUCUGGGGACAUCCCCUAAAGAUCAAAGCUUUAUGUGCUGAAAGAUGGCCUCGCGUCUGAUUAGCUAGUUGGUGAGGUAACGGCCCACCAAGGCGACGAUCAGUAGCCGGUCUGAGAGGAUGAACGGCCACAUUGGGACUGAGAUACGGCCCAG
rnacentral:rRNA from 1 species